CCUACGGGGGGCAGCAGUGAGGAAUAUUGGUCAAUGGACGAGAGUCUGAACCAGCCAAGUAGCGUGAAGGAUGAAUGCCCUAUGGGUUGUAAACUUCUUUUAUAAAGGAAUAAAACGAGGCUCGUGUGCCUUUUUGCAUGUACUUUAUGAAUAAGGAUCGGCUAACUCCGUGCCAGCAGCCGCGGUAAUACGGAGGAUCCGAGCUUUAUCCGGAUUUAUUGGUUUUAAAGGGAGCGUAGUUGGGUUGUUAAGUCAGUUUUGAAAGUUUGCGGCUCAACCGUAAAAUUGCAAUUGAUACUGGCAGUCUUGAGUACAGUUGAGGUAGGCGGAAUUCGUGGUGUAGCGGUGAAAGGCUUAGAUAUCACGAAGAACCCCGAUUGCGAAGGCAGCUUACUAAACUGUGACUGACAUUGAUGCUCGAAAGUGUGGGUAUCAAACAGGAUUAGAUACCCCUGUAGUC
rnacentral:rRNA from 1 species